GACAGAGGGUGCAAACGUUGUUCGGAAUUACUGGGCGUAAAGCGCGUGUAGGUGGCGAGGCAAGUCGGGUGUGAAAGCCCUGGGCUCAACCCAGGAAGUGCACUCGAUACUGCCUAGCUAGAGUCCCGGAGAGGUUGGUGGAACUCUCGGUGUAGAGGUGAAAUUCGUAGAUAUCGAGAAGAACACCGGUGGCGAAGGCGGCCAACUGGACGGUGACUGACACUGAGACGCGAAAGCGUGGGAGCAAACAGGG
rnacentral:rRNA from 1 species